UACGAAGGGGGCUAGCGUUGCUCGGAAUUACUGGGCGUAAAGGGCGCGUAGGCGGACAGUUUAGUCAGAGGUGAAAGCCCAGGGCUCAACCUUGGAAUUGCCUUUGAUACUGGCUGUCUUGAGUUCGGGAGAGGUGAGUGGAAUGCCGAGUGUAGAGGUGAAAUUCGUAGAUAUUCGGCGGAACACCAGUGGCGAAGGCGACACACUGGCCCGUUACUGACGCUGAGGCGCGAAAGCGUGGGGAGCAAACAGG
rnacentral:rRNA from 1 species